UCCACAGACAGUUUUCCUGCCCGUUGGCUUGUUUUAACCAGUUUUCUGCCUUCGGCUGAUUGUACCAGCAGACACUGAAAGGACUCUGAUAGUUCGAGUGAAAGUAGCAGUUCCUCCUGAAGGUCAGAGAUUGCAGCAUCUGAGGGCCUCUUCAAAAGAAGACGUAGUUGAUGAAGGCGUUCUGGAGCAGGACCAGAAAGACCACGACCAAGCAGCCUUGAGAUCUUAGACAGCGUCUCCCUCAGGUCCCUCUCUAUCUCCCCACACAUCCACCAACCACUGGAACACAUCUCCAAAGUUCUGC